CUCCAAAAAAAAAAAAACCAACCCCACAAUAUUACCCUCUCAUCUUUCUUUUGCCUUCGAUAAAUGAUUGGUCAGUUCGCCGUCCACCGGUCAAGCUCCGGCCGCUGCGCCAUUUUCCUUCCGUGGAAACAAUGUCCGUUUGGCGUACACGGUAAAUGGGCCGAACUCGAGGCCGGGGCGUUUGAGAAAUAUGCGCCAUGGUGUUAGAAGGGUCGGCGCCAAUAACAAUCAACGCCGCUGCCACCUGCUUCUCCAUAUCCACCACCAUCAAACCGUCACCACCACCUUCUGGCUCCUGCUACCCACCACUAUCGUCAUCGCUGCCUUCUCAACUCCAACUUCCAUAGCCAUAAUCAAAGCCUUAACCGUCACUGUUUUGUCUUUUAAACCAGUCAGCCCCUGUCCAACAUCUUCUUUGCUUGACUAUUUUUUCCUUUACAGGUAUUUGAUCACAAAGCUAGCAAAUGGAAGUUUCUUUGAAGGCCUUGUCAGGGCUUGAAUACAUAUGCAACCACUUCAACCGCUAGGAUGCCACAUGAUUCUCAUCUAUACAUGGAUAUACAAGUUUAUUACAAUAUGCGGGCUGUAAAUUGAAUUUUUCCUUUUAACUACCAAAAAUUUGGAGUUAUGGCAGGUAAUAAAUGCAUUUCUAUUUUGUAUUUCAGCUACUACUUAAUAACUUUUAAAACCCCUUGUAAAUAAUCUAGAGUGACAAUUUUUAGUACUUGUAGUUUCUUCUUUGCUUUGAUUGUACUCUGAUAUUGGUUGAAUGAUUUGCCAUAGAAGUAAACAUGAUGGUACUACCACCCGUUCUUGGAAACCGUCACCCAUUUGUUUUUUGUUUUUUCAAUUUUUUGUCAAGCUUCUAGGAAGUUUCUUAAACAUGUACUAAUUGCAUUUAAUGGAGAGAAUAAAAUUUUUGCCCUCUAAACCAAAUAGGGAUAUGUUCUUAUCAAUGAAUAUAAUCCUCUUGACACUUCCAUGAUCAUUAUGAAGAUGGGUAAUGAGUUUGUUGGCUUUGAAAGGUAAAUAUUCAGAACAGAUUAAAGUCACCUUGUCAAGCACAAGUAAACCUCCUGCGUCUUUGUUAUCCAUGCCAACACCGGUAUUCUUAUCUCAUCCAUAUGUCUCGUCUUUCUUGUAAAAUGCUUGCAGGACAACAAUAUAGCGAAUAUCUAAUUUCUUAGAUAAUUUGUUCAGGCUAUUUGUUAUACUAAUAUUUUCCCUCUAUUUUUAUGUUGCAUUGGAAAACACAGAUACAACACUGGCCCAUCUACAUUCUUGAAUAGAUUUGACUGAUCAGUGACCAUCCUGUACCACCAUCUCUUACGUAGACUGAUGGAUGGGGGGAUAUGGGUAAUUAAAUUCAUGGAGAGUUGGAUAGUGACAAAGAUGGUUGGGAUGACAUGGAGCCACUAGAGAAAACAACACCACUUACUGCUCUUGCAAAUAUUUGAGCAUCUCAAAAGCAACCUGUCUCAAUUCCAAAACCACAAGAUCAUUUUUUAGAAAUCUAUAUAAAGACCCUCGAGUGCAAAAUCCAGCCAAAAAGUCGAUGAUAAUGAUGAUCCCUGGGGCACAAAUGUUGCUCUUUUUAUGAACUCUUCAUCUAAGUUUGAAUCUAAAAUCUAAUGGCUCAGUAGUUGACGAUCUCUGAGCUGCCAUUGUAGUUUGUUCCACCGACAAUUGGGCACAGGCCUAUGUUGGUUGAACGAGGCCGGGGAACCAAAUCUGCUGCCCCAAGAUUAGCAAGGUCAUGGAAGUUUUCAUCAGGGCUGCAGAAUAUAUGGAAAUUCCUGUUCACUGAACUGAUGAAGAAUCUCUUUAUAAAAUAUAUGUGUUUGUUAGGAGUGAGCUCAAUUUGAAUCUUUGAAAUAUUAAACAAGAACAACCUAAAUCCUGGAAACAGCACACUCCCUUAGUGAAGUCUGAAUUGUUGAUGCAAGCACAUCUGCAAUAACACCUUGCCUUCUUUAAGAACUAAUGAAGAUGAUGAAGUCGGAGACGUUGAGAUAGUUCUUUCGAUGAUACCUUCCAUAACCCUCAAUAUAACAUUUGAGACCGAAGGUGGAGAGGAAAUUCAUGGAAAAAAUCGCCCAAUCCUUUUGAGGAGGUCAUUAUUGGACAUGGGUCCAAAAACACCUGAACGUAAAGGAUGUUCGAAGAAAAAAACACACAAAUGACCCUCAGUCUAUGAAGACCAUCCAACAGCAAUGGAGCCGUGAAUUCGGCCAGAAGUAAUGGAGCCUCAGUCUGUGGAGGCCGCCCAACAACAACGGACCUAUGGAACUACCCAGCAGCAAUGGAGCCCCAAGGCUUACUGCCACCAUGAAGCCAAAGUCUGUUGCCUUUACAAAUAUCGAAAGCAACAGUCUACAUUGGACUAUGGUGCCUCCACAAAGCAAAAGAUUAUUGCCUCUACAGGAUCGAAAGCAAUAGCCUCCACAGACCCUAAGACAACAACCUCAAUUGGCUUUAGGUUAAUGGUUCCAUACUGAUCGUCAAUGGAAGAUCCACACACCUUAAUGUUUCAUUCAAAGGAUUCCCUGGAGACAUACCGACAGAAGAAAGAAUUGAAGACUCCAUACAACUCGAAAUUGUUGGAGAUAAAACCCCGCAGACCGGCUAAGUUAUAAUAGCGGCAGUUCGGAUGGAGCUGUGGACCGGUUCAAGUGCAAUGGAGACGGUUCAAAUUGAGUCCAACGGUUGAGAAUUGAGAGGGGAAGUAGUCAGGCAGUUGGAAUGAGUGGAAAAAAUAAUUGUAACCACAUCUUCAGUAGAUGGGGCAGUUACUUGAUCUUAGGAUUAAAUUUAGUAAAACACACAGCACAUACGACAAUAAUACACAUCUCUUCUACAACUCUUCAUCAUUUUAUUAGUUUAUCUAUAGAUUUUAGGAGAU